ACGGGAGGCAGCAGUGGGGAAUAUUGCACAAUGGGGGAAACCCUGAUGCAGCGACGCCGCGUGAGUGAAGAAGUAUUUCGGUACGUAAAGCUCUAUCAGUAGGGAAGAAAAUGACGGUACCUAACUAAGAAGCCCCGGCUAACUACGUGCCAGCAGCCGCGGUAAUACGUAGGGGGCAAGCGUUAUCCGGAUUUACUGGGUGUAAAGGGAGCGCAGACGGCAAAGCAAGUCUGAUGUGAAAUGCGGGGGCUCAACCCCUGAACUGCAUUGGAAACUGUUUAGCUAGAGUGCAGGAGAGGUAAGUGGAAUUCCUAGUGUAGCGGUGAAAUGCGUAGAUAUUAGGAGGAACACCGGUGGCGAAGGCGGCUUACUGGACUGUAACUGACGUUGAGGCUCGAAAGCGUGGGGAGCAAACAGGAUUAGAUACCCUGGUA
rnacentral:rRNA from 1 species